rnacentral:SRP_RNA from 1 species
CCUGUGCAUGUAGUCUUAGCUUCUUGGAAGGCUGAGAAAGGAGGAUUGAUUGAGUCCACGAGUUCGGGACUGCCGUGCACUAUGUGGAUUGGGUGUCCACUAAGUUCGGCAUCAGUAUGGUGACCUCUGGAGUUGGAGACCACCAGGUUGCCUAAGGAGGGGUGAACCGGUUCAAGUUGGAAAUGGAGCAAGCCAAAACUCUCAUGCAGAUCAGUAGGGGGAUUGUGCCACUGCCCUCUAGCCUGGGCAUCACAGCAAGACCCAUCUCU